rnacentral:rRNA from 1 species
UACAGAGGGUGCGAGCGUUGUUCGGAAUUAUUGGGCGUAAAGCGCUUGUAGGCGGCACGUCAAGUCGCGUGUGAAAUCCCCAGGCUUAACCUGGGAAGUGCGCGCGAAACUGACGAGCUUGAGUGCCGGAGAGGGUCGCGGAAUUCCCGGUGUAGAGGUGAAAUGCGCAGAUAUCAGGAGGAACACCGGUGGCGAAGGCGGAUCUCUGGGCCGAUACUGACGCUGAGGAGCGAAAGCGUGGGGAGCGAACAGG